rnacentral:rRNA from 1 species
GACGAACGCUGGCGGCGUGCUUAACACAUGCAAGUCGAACGGAAAGGCCUGCCUUUUUUGGGUUCCUCGAUGGGCAAACGGUUGAUAAACCCUUAGUUAACUUCCCUUUACCUUUGGAUUACUUCCGGAAACUUGGGCCUAUUACCGGUUAGAGCCUCUUCCUCCUUGUUGGGGUUUGGAAAUUUCGGCGGUUGGGGAUGGGCUCGCGGCUUAUCAGCUUGUUGGUGGGGUAGUGGCUUACCAAGGCUUUGACGGGUAGCCGGCCUGAGAGGGUGACCGGCCACAUUGGGACUGAGAUACGGCCCAGACUCCUACGGGAGGCAGCAGUGGGGAAUAUUGCACAAUGGGCGGAAGCCUGAUGCAGCAACGCCGCGUGCGGGAUGACGGCCUUCGGGUUGUAAACCGCUUUCGCCUGUGACGAAGCGUGAGUGACGGUAAUGGGUAAAGAAGCACCGGCUAACUACGUG